CACAAGCCAGCCCUCAAGACACGGAGGGAAGCUGGGGGAGCAGCCCCUGGAUCUACGCGCCGGCCGGCUGCCAGGCCCCGCCACGGCAGCACCACGCCAACCAACCCCUCACAGCGGCCAACCCCCCGUACGGACGGCCACGGCCUGCCCUGGAGCCGGACCGCGCCGCGCCUGCGCCCUGCGGGAACACGGGGCGGAAGCGAGCGCUGAGGGAAGGGGCGUGUCGCCAUGGCGACCGCGGCGGAGGGGCUGUCUGAGGCUGGCGUGCAGCCCGCCAAGCAAGAUACUGCUAUUGAAACAGCAGAGGAAGCUAAGGAACCAGCAGAGGCAGACAUCAAUGAACUCUGUAAAGACAUGUUCAACAAAAUGGCCACUUAUUUAACAGGUGAACUGACAGGCACCAGUGAAGACUACAAACUCUUGGAAAACAUGAAUAAGCUGACUAGCUUGAAGUACCUAGAAAUGAAAGAUAUUGCUAUAAACAUCAGUAGAAAUCUGAAAGAUUUAAAUAAAAAAUAUGCUGCUCUUCAGCCAUAUCUGGAACAAAUCAACUUAAUUGAGGAACAAGUUGCAGCUCUGGAGCAGGCAGCUUAUAAAUUGGAUGCAUAUUCAAAAAAACUUGAAGCCAAAUACAAGAAACUGGAGAAACGAUGAAAUUUCAACAGUCUUGGAGUUGGGCUAUGAGUCAAACUGAUUUCUGUUGAAGUGGCACAGCAGCAGUUCUGUAUGUUGACAAGGAUUUGGUUGCAACUAACAUCAAAACUGCUCCUGGGUUCAGACCCAUCUCCGGCCCGGCUGGGCCAAUCUGGUGCCUCUGCCAUCACUAUUUAUGGGACAGGAAUUUGAAGUGCUGGCAGGAGGUGUAAGAGUGAUACAAGAUGGAGGCGACCACACAGACCCCACAGUCAGAGAAGGAGGAAGGAAGGAGGAGCACCAGAACAGAGACCCCUCUGCAAGCCAUGGUGAGAAUGCAGCUGUACCCUUGCAACCCAUGCAGGGCCAUGGCAGGGCUGAGGCCGUGUUGGAGAGCCUGCACGCCACAGAGCAGCCCCACAGGAGAGGCAGAGAGGAGCUGCAGCCUUUGGGAUAAAUGCACCUCGGAGCAGCCUGUGCAGGGCUGCCGUGUGUGUGGGGUACCCACGGACUUGCAGGGAGGACUGGUGUGGAACCCACCUGCCCUGAGGAGGAACAAAAGCAGAAGCCAUCAGGAAUAGACUGACUGAAACCCCCACUCCCUGCCCCCCUGGGUCGUUCAGCGGGGAGGAGGUAAAAACACCAGGAUCAAGGCUCUGAGCUCGGGAAGAGAAUAGGAGUGGGGAGAAGGUGGUUUUAAAAGGCUGGUUGGACUCUUCAUCAUUGUACCACUCUGUGUUGUUUUAUUUUGGCUAUGUUUUGGGGUUUUAAGGUUAUGCUUUAGUUGGUAUUGCAUUAAAUUAUUUUU